rnacentral:lncRNA from 1 species
CUUCAUCUCCCACAAAUCAGCGCCGUACACAACACAACUGCCUCCGCGGACCUCGGGUGCCGUCGAGGGCCGCCCACACCUAGGGGAAGGGCUAUAAGCUGGGCGUCGUUCACCCCUCCUCCUAUCCCACCUCUCUAGAAUUUCCAUGAACGGGCAGGGCGAGCUACUCGCUAAUUGGAGCUCGGCGGAUCCACCGUCGCGGGGUUCAUCUGUGCUGCUCCACGGUCAGCGUGUUGUGGGUCGAUUCACUGCGCUCCCGUUGCUGGUAUGUGGCCCUAGACCUUCACCAAUCACCUGUGUAGCUUAAUGCGUUAAGGGCGAGGUUUGGGGAUCAGAACACCUCGUGGAAUUUGGUGUUUCCACCGCGGUGGCGUUGUGCGCCAUGGACAGCGUGGUUAGGUAUGAGAUUUAGGGAUGAUGACGGUAUGCUAGGGUUUGGAUCUUUCUCCGCAUCCUAUCGUGCGUCUCAAUGUCGAGGAUGAACUUCGGCACAUGGCAUUUCAGUAUCCGGCCAUGGCGCCGCCGCACUGGGGCGGGUGCGGCGCUGCUCUGGUGAGUCGGGUGUGGAAGAUGAAUGGUGAUCGUCGGAUGGGAAAUGUGCGAUCCCGAUUAGAAACUAGUUACCGGUUUAACUUAGAUCGUUGAAUAUGCAUCCAAGGACGCAGAGUCGAUCUCGGUUAUGUAGAACGCGGACCGUAGAUCUCCAAUCCAACAGACGACAUAGCUUACCGGUUCCGGUUAAAUCAAAUCUAAUACUAUGCGUCGAUUAGAGAUCGAACGGUCAGGACAGGUUCAUACCCCUUCGUUGUGUCACAAUUGCUAUAGAGCCCCUGAUGAAUUAGGUAUUCAACCCGCAGUCCACACUGUAGGAAUCCUGAGUCUUGGAAAUUCUUGCGAGUUAGUCCAUGUCUUCUCUAGAAUUUGAGGCGUAGUCCAGACAGUGAAUAAAAAUUAUAAAAUCAUUUAAAAAUGAAUUGUUAAUGUGAAAAUAAAUGCUAGAACUUGUUUAAUUCAUACAAAAUUCAUAUUGAGUCCAAAUUGAUCCAUUCCAGUUUCUAUAAUUUUGUAAUAUUAUUGUUUAUCAACUAGUGUCUCUGUUUUGACAUGAAAGCCACAUUACCAUUUAUAUCAUAAUUAAUCUUGUAUCAAAUACAUAAAACCUUCAGGAAUUCAUAACUCCUCCGUUUUAAUUCCGAAUUGACUCGUUCCAGUUGCGUUGCCUUUGUAAUAAAAUUGUCUACAUAAUAGCGAACCUUAUUUUGUUAUAUCACAUACUUUUAUAAUUAGAUAUUCGUGUAUCCUAUGUAUAAUAGAUCUAUUUUACUAAAUAAGGUUAACAUGUCUACAAUCAUAAUUUGACCAUAAUAGGUUUUCUAAACAAUUAUAAUCUAGAUUAAAGUUGAAUUGAUUAUUUAAGAGUAUAUUUUCUCAUGUGAUGUAUAUUAAUCAAUUUAUAAUAUAGUUUGAAUCACAUAGAUCUUCGAUAAAUCAUAACUCCUUAACCAUGACUCCGAUUUUACUAGUUCUCGAUCUCACGAGCUCGUAGUGACAUGUAGAUUAUUAUUAUGCAGUUUAUUCUUAUGUUUGGUGUGAUGUUAAUUUUGUAUAUAACAUGUUUGUUUGUAUUGCUACGACUAGCAGUGAGGUCACGAGAACCUGAAAAUCAUCCUGGUACCUAGAAUCUCAAGUCCCAGGCAAGUUAUGCCCUUGACCACUUUUAUACCCAAUAAUGUUCUUUAUUAUCACUUAUCAAUGCAUAGGUUUAAUUUUGAUGGGACCCAAUAGGUCGCCCUAGUCUGUUUAUCCUUUUUACCUUGUUUACCCCUGAAUCAUUUGGGUAGUUAUGCUAUUGCUUUACAUGAUUUUGGGUUAAUAUUUCAUUAUAUCCAUGUUCCAAUUAUUCUGUUAUUUUAUUUAUGUUCAUGUCAAGAUCAUCAAUAUCUUUAAUUGGAACAUGGAGCUUAACUUGAGAAACACGUGCCACCAUAAGGGUGCAAUGGAAUGCCCUUGGCUGACUAAUUAGGAAAGCUAGUGGAAGACUACCUUACCCGAAAGGGGCAAGGGCAGUAGGGGAGUAGGCAUGUAGGGAGGUUCUCGGGUUGAUUUUGCUGCGAUGGCGGUCAGACGAGCGAUUCCUAUAAUUGUUCUUCCCAGAAACUGUAGCGGGUUUUCGGAAGCUAGUGGAACUUUGUAAAGGCCUCAUAGUGUUACCCUGCCUCGCUUCCUUGGUAGAUGUGUAUGGGAUUCAUGACCUCCUUGGCAGAUGGGUAACAUGACUUGUGGGUAAAGGUUACAACCUCUGCAGAGUGUAAAACAGUAUACUAGCCGAGCUCGCGGUCAUGAGCAGCUUAGGACUCUCGCAUGAUUAAACUAUGGAACUUAAAUUCAAUUUGUCAUUUGCAUUGCAUGGGAUUAUUUAUUAAUUUUGUUCUAUUAUUCUUAUUAUGGUUUAGUAUCUACUUACAUUUAGUAAUUGCUAAUAAAAUUUGACCAACUUAAUAAAAGCAAUGCUCAACUUUAACCCUAUUGUUGAUCAGCCUUACACAUCACAUGAACUCCCACCAUUGGUGAGUUCAUGCACAUUAUUCCUCACAACUUGUUGAGCGAUGAACAUGUGUGAGCUCACCCUUGCUGUCUCACACCCCCCACAGGAGAAGAUCAGGUGGUUCAAGAGGAGCCCCACAACGAGGAGUUCGACUUGAUCUAGGUGGCGUCUCCAAGUCGACUUUAUGACGCCAAGGAUGGACUUUAGAUCGUUUUAUAUUUAUCUUUUAUUUUGUAAGACUUCCGCUAUGUAAUAAGUACUCUGAUGAUAUUGUGACAUGUAUCUCUAUACACUUUGUUAUUGUAUGUGUUGUCUUCUUUGGCGCAUAUAUGAG